UUAUUUUAUAAGUUAAUAAUUGGUCAUAUCCAUUUAUUAUUUUAAUAAUAAUUGUGAAUAAGCCACAAACUUCGCUUAUUCCUAACUAAAAUAGUAAAUAGAGAUAAUAACAAAAGGAUUUGUAAAACUAAAUAAUUCUUUUUGCGUUUUUGCUAAUGUAUGCCUUUAUAAAUAGGAUGGUAGACCACACACUAUAAUAUGCAGUACCAACUAAUGAAUACACAGAAUAUUAUAGUCGAUUUGCUAAACUCAGUCUCAUUAAUAAUUACUGUAAUUUUGGCAAAAUUGGCCAAAAACAAAAAAAUUACCUACUAAAAUCACUAGCCAGUUGUGUCUGAGUUUGGGGAACCGACUAUACUAAUAAACAAUUUCUAAGCUGUUUUAUAAUAUUUUGUGAGUUCAUUAAUCAUAUUUUUUAUUUAAAACUAAAAUUUGUUAAUAAUGCUUAGUAAUGCAUAUAUUUUGUAUUUUUAGCUUUCCAGAAGAUCCUGCGAAGAAGACAUGAAGUAUAGAUCAGAUUUGUUAAUAGAGGAGUAUGUUCAAAACACUUUUUAGAGAAAGAUAUUGACAGAACUUCACUUUCAUCUGUUCGUUUGAGAGACUGUGCUGUUCCAAUAGCUUAUGUCACACAGAAUCAGCUGAGAGAAGUAGGCUACAAAAAACCAGAAAGGAAACGGAAUAUGUGGCUACGAAAAGCAAAAGAAAGGUUUACAAAGCAAAUGUGACACAUUUUUUUAUAAUAUUUAGGAAUGUCAGUAAAUUACCUACAUUAAAAAAUGUAUGUAAAGAUUUUUUGCAAUAAAAAUGUUUAUAUUUAUCA